ensembl:lncRNA
UGCCCCUGCGGCGCGCUGCAUUCUGGGCUGGCCGCUCGGCCUCGCCGGCUGGUUGACCGCGGCGCACGCGCGCUGCGUCGUUCCGCGUCUGCGCCCCCGCGGCGGUAGCGCGGGCGUGAGGUGGCCGUGCGGCUGGAGAGGACUCCGCAGGGUCGCCUGGCACCUCCCUCCCGGGCCUCUGGGGACGGGCCCCGCCGGGGAACGGGGGGCGUCGGCGGCCGGGCCUAUCCGGCUGAGCCCCCUGCUCGGGCUCGGCCCAGUCCGGGCUGUCGCACGCCACACCAAGAACCCCGGCUUCAGGGCGGCGUCCCUGGUACGCGGGUCCUCCCCGCUGGCCGCUCAGGCGCUUGCUCCCGGGCGGCAGAGACUGCGCACCCCCGACCUUUGUGCCCCGCCUCCCCCUCCCCACAGCUGGUCGUCGGGGGGUCGAUGAUGAGGUGAUGCAAGAAAAGCAGGCUGGGGGCCGUGGGGGUCGGCGGCUCCCGGGGCCCAGGGGUGGCCACCCCAGCAGGUCACCCCCACCGGCCUGCACGUCAGCGCUUCCCGGGGAGGCCCCACCCUGCUCCGCACCCCACCUCCAGCCUUUGCCCCUCUCAGGCCCUCCUCCGCCUGGAAGAUCUUUUCAGCCGUCGCCCCUCUCUGUCCGCCUGUCUUGUUCGCAGAGGUCAUCCCAGGGCACCACUUGGCGAGGUCCUGCACCUGCAGCAGUGUGCGCCUGUUCUCCGCGGUGCGGGAGUGUGGAACUCCUGAUCAAAGCCGGCGCCCCAGUCUUCAGCAGCUGCUGGAAUGGCAGUCUCCCCAGGAGGCUCCCCCAACACUCAGCCCUUACUGUCAAGAGGAAAUAGCUUGCCAGAGCUGCCAGGUGCUGGGCCAGGUUGGCCGCAGUCCCCACCUCAGGCGGGAGAGGGUGACGCUUGUCAGUGCAGGGCACCUUGAAGAUGUCAGAAGUGCCUGUAUUGGCCCUGGGCGGUGCGUGCUGUGGCCUUAAAUACAGGGUUAAUCUAAGCUCACAGAUAUUUGAAAUCCAGGCCCCACCCCGACCCCUCACCCCCUUGCCAACAAUCCAUAAAGCCGGGUUCCUAUCCGUGCCUCAGGAUGGGGAGGGGAGAAGGGGGUCACAAGGAAGGAUAGUCCUACCCCUUCCCUGCCAACCGAGGGCUAGGCCCGAGCCAGGGCCAGCAGGCCCUCAGAGUUGGACAGGACUGGCUUUUUAACGCCCAAAGGGUAGGAGUAUGGCUUGUCUCAGUACUAGGAACUGACAUUGGCCCUGAGCUGCCGAGCGCUCUGCCCCAAAGCUGUCCCCCAGCUGUUGAGAGGCAGAGGGGGUGAGAGUCAAAGCUGCUCCUUGGUAAUGCUUCAGGGUUCCACCUGGCCUGAGACCGGGCGGAGCAGGAGGCAGUGGCCAGCCAAUGGGCACGAGAGUCAGUCAGCAGGACUUCAAACAGCAAUGCUGCUCCCCUGCACUUGGGAUGGCACCCUUGGCCCAGCCGGGUGGAGUGGAAAGGAGAAAACCAAAACGAGGGUCGUCACAGAGGGGUGGGGGCGCCGAGCCUGGGGCCUCCGGGCACCAUCUCUGACGCUGUCUGCAAACUGGGCAGGGUACAGUGUUAGAGAAACUUGUUUCUCAACCAUCAGUAGCUUUACUGGGUUUCCUGAUUGCUAUAGAAAGAAUGUAUGCUCCCUGUAGCCAUUUCAAGUCUAUAAAAACAAGUACAAACUAACAGAAAUCUGGCGUCCUGGUGGCGGCUGGGAACACCCUUAAUGCCACAUGAAGUCUGCCUUCCUGCCCCGCCUCUCUUCAGGCUACAGUCAGAAUGCAGAAGCUGGUGCAGUGAGUUUAAAAUGAGCUCUUUCUGCCUUUUGCUUUUUUCUCUUUGGGAGGCUCCCUUUUCCACCCCACACACUGUACAUAAACUUUCAUAGUCGCUGCACAUUUACACAAGUGUCAUUUGUGUCAAUUUACACCUUUUUACGGAGAAGGCAACGGCACUCCACUCCAGUGCUCUUGCCUGGAAAAUCCCAUGGACGGAGGAGCCUGGUGGGCUGCAGUCCAUGGGGUCGCUGAGGGUCGGACACGACUGAGCGACUUCACUUUGACUUUUCACUUGCAUGCCUUGGAGAAGGCAAUGGCACCCCACUCCAGUGUUCUUGCCUGGAGAAUCCCAGGGACGGGGGAGCCUGGUGGCCUGCAGUCUAUGGGGUCGCACAGAGUCGGACACGACUGAAGCGAUUUAGCAGCAGCAGCACACCUUUUUACUCAAGUGACAGUUGAGAGAAAACAAGGUGGGAUGUCCGGGAAGCACACCUGCUCCACUGGGGGAGGCUAGAGGAUCAGGUUAGGAAUCGGGUUAAGGAGUCAGGUUAGAGAUCACGGGAGGUUAGAGAUCAAAAUAGGGAUCGAUCAGAGGUUCAGAAUAGAGAUCCGCUUAGGGAAUCAGGUUAGGGGUCAGAAUACCGGAAGAGGACUGUCAGGACUGUGUGCUGUUCGGCCACGCCCCAGGUGAAGGCGGGCAGAACUGGAUUGGACCAGGUUGCGGUUUUGCCCAGAGGUGUGAUGAAGGGAGAGGGCGGAGUCACGGUGUGUGCAAGACAGGGGCUUUAUCAAACUGCCCUGGUGGUCCAGUGGCUAAGGACUGGCCUGCCGAUCCAGAGGGCACAGGUGCAGUCCCUGGUGUGGGAAGAUGCCACGCGCCUGCCAAUCCAGAGGACACAGGUGCAGUCCCUGGUGUGGGAAGAUGCCACGCGCCGCAGGGCAGCUUAGCCCUUGCACCACAACUACGGAGCCUGCGCCCUAGAACCCGCCAGCUGCAGCCCCAGUGCUACAGCUGCUGAACCCAGGCACCCCAGAGCCUGUGCUUUGCAACAAGAAGCCACCCCAGUGAGAAGCCCCCGCGCACCGCAACCAGAGAAAACCCUCGUGCGGCAGUGAAGACCCAGCCCAAACCAACAACAAGAACAAAAAAACCCCGAUGUUAUAAGAAAGUAACUUUUGCUUGUUCUUUUACUUGAUAUAAAUGGAAUCAACUAGUGUGCCUGUUAAUACUUAAAAAGAAAAUCUAGCUGCUUUCACUUAGCAUUUUGUCUAUGGAAUUCAUCAGCAUAACAAACUAAUGGGUAACGUUAGUUUGCUGUUUUUCAUUGUUAGGCAGUGUCCCAUUAUAUGAAUAUGCCUGCUUAGUCGCUCAGUCGUGUCUGACUCUGCGACCCAUGGACUGCAGCCCGCCAGGCUCCUCUGUCCAUUGGAUUCUCCAGGCAAGAAUACUGGAGUGGGUUGCCACUGACUUCUCUGGGGAUCUUCCUGACCCACGGAUUGAACCUGGGGCUCCUGCAUUUCAGGUGGAUUCUUUACUGUCUGAGCCACCAGCGAAGCCCGCUUAUAUGAACAUACAGUUGAUUUAUCAGCGCUGUGGUUGAUGGAUCCUCCAUGUUCGGCCGUUCUAACGAAUGACACCGUUAAUAUUCUCGCGUGUGGCUUUGCUGCACGCACUUAAUGCCUCUGAUAGAACUUCUGGUCUGAGGCUGUGCUCAAGCUCAGCAUUACUAAGUACUGACAGCUGGUUUCCAGAAUGUUCCUACCAGCUUACCUGGCCACCAGCGGAGCAGGAGCCCAGGUCCCCAGAGUUCCAGUUACUGUGAUGGUAAUCACUCUUGAAGGUGGGGGCACAGCGUGGCUCCGUCUUGCAUUCCUCUCAUGAGUAAGGAUCUUGAGGCACUUUUUCAUAUACGUCUGAGCGUUUGGACCUCUUCUUUGAUGGAGUGCCUGUGUAAGGCUGGUUUCUUGUCCAUUUCCCCAUUGGUCAUCUGCCUUUUUCAUUCUGGCUUGUGAGAGUUCUUUGUAUAUUCUAGAUAUGGGCCCUUAGGUUAUAUGUAUUUCAAACAUUUUCUCACUCAGGAUUACCUUUUCAACUCCUAAUGGUGUCUUAUGAUGAAGAAAACUUGAUUUUAAUGCUUUAAUUUUUUUUUUUUUUGGUGACUGCUUUUUGUGAUUAAAGAAAUCUUUG